rnacentral:tRNA from 1 species
GCGGAGAUGCUGGAGUGGUCAAACAGAGCGCGCUAAGGACGCGCUGGCUUAGUGCCUGCGAAGGUUCGAAUCCUUCUCUCCGCA